CAGAGUAUCAAUUGGAGGGCAAGUCUGGUGCCAGCAGCCGCGGUAAUUCCAGCUCCAAUAGCGUAUAUUAAAGUUGUUGCAGUUAAGAAGCUCGUAGUUGAAUUUCUGCCUUGUCAUUAAUCUCGCUUCCGAGCGUUUUUUUAUUGACUUGGCAUCUUCUGGAUUUGGUGCCUUCGGGUACUAUUUUCCAGGAUUUACUUUGAGAAAACUAGAGUGUUUCAAACAGGCAUUCGCCUUGAAUACUACAGCAUGGAAUAAUGAAGUAGGACUUUGGUUCUAUUUUGUUGGUUAUUGAGCCAGAGUAAUGGUUAAUAGGAGCAGUUGGAGGCAUUCGUAUUUAACUGUCAGAGGUGAAAUUCUUAGAUUUGUUAAAGACGAACUACUGCGAAAGCAUUUGCCAAGGAUGUUUUCAUUAAUCAAGAACGAAAGUUAGGGGAUCGAAGACGAUCAGAUACCGUCGUAGUCCU
rnacentral:rRNA from 1 species